AUGGAGAGGGGCUUUGGAAGACAAAGGAGGAGGAGGAGGUUGGAAGCCUGCAUUAAUAUAGGGGUUGAAGAUAUUCAUUGUGAGGUGGUCUUGAAGCAGCCCGAAGCAGAACAGAGACAGCCCGGCCAGUCCCUCAAACGGUCUUGUACGAUUUCUGGAUUCACUUUCAGUGGCAGCAGCAGCUUCUACCUGAACUGGAUCCGACAUCCUCCGGGAAAAGGGCUGGAAUGGUUGGCAGCUGAAAGAGGAGAUAAAAGUUAUACGGGCCACGCAAACUCAAUUAAAGGGAGAUUCACCAUCUCGACGGAUAGCAAUGGCGCAUAUCUGCAAAUGAACGCCCUGACAGCGGAUGACACGGCGGUGUAUUACUGUGCUCGAGAUUCACAGUGA